rnacentral:tRNA from 1 species
UGUGGAAUGGCAGAAGAAUGCAUAAAUCUUAAGCGUUUAGUAUGACCAAAUGGUCUUUCACAAC